rnacentral:rRNA from 1 species
UUAUGGCUCAGGAUGAACGCUAGCUACAGGCUUAACACAUGCAAGUCGUGGGGCAGCAUAUAGAUAGCUUGCUAUUAUGAUGGCGACCGGCGCACGGGUGAGUAACGCGUAUCCAACCUUCCCAUAGUAGGGUAUAGCCCGGCGAAAGUCGGAUUAAUCCCCUAUGUUGUUUGAAGCGGACAUCUAAUUCAAACCAAAGAUUCAUCGCUAUGGGAUGGGGAUGCGUCUGAUUAGGUUGCAGGCGGGGUAACGGCCCACCUGGCCGACGAUCAGUAGGGGUUCCGAGAGGAAGGUCCCCCACACUGGUACUGAGACACGGACCAGACUCCUACGGGAGGCAGCAGUGAGGAAUAUUGGUCAAUGGGCGCGAGCCUGAACCAGCCAAGUAGCGUGCAAGGAUGACGGCCCUACGGGUUGUAAACUGCUUUUAUGCGGGGAUAAAGUGCGGCACGUGUGCCGUUUUGCAGGUACCGCAUGAAUAAGGACCGGCUAAUUCCGUGCCAGCAGCUGC